UACGUAGGGUGCAAGCGUUGUCCGGAAUUAUUGGGCGUAAAGAGCUCGUAGGCGGUCUGUCGCGUCGGAUGUGAAAACCCAGGGCUCAACCCUGGGCCUGCAUUCGAUACGGGCAGACUAGAGUUCGGUAGGGGAGACUGGAAUUCCUGGUGUAGCGGUGAAAUGCGCAGAUAUCAGGAGGAACACCGGUGGCGAAGGCGGGUCUCUGGGCCGAUACUGACGCUGAGGCGCGAAAGCUAGGGGAGCGAACAGG
rnacentral:rRNA from 1 species